GGCCCCGCACAAGCAGCGGAGCGUGUGGUUUAAUUCGAUGUUACACGAAGAACCUUACCUGGGCUUGACAUGGAGGUGGUAGGGAAGCGAAAGCGGACCGACCCUUCGGGGAGCCUUCACAGGUGCUGCAUGGCUGUCGUCAGCUCGUGCCGUGAGGUGUCGGGUUAAGUCCCGUAACGAGCGCAACCCUUGCCCUUAGUUACAAGUGUCUAGGGGGACUGCCGGCGGUAAGCCGGAGGAAGGUGGGGAUGACGUCAAGUCAGCAUGGCCCUUAUGUCCAGGGCUACACACACGCUACAAUGGUCGGUACAAAGGGCAGCGAACCCGCGAGGGGGAGCGAAUCCCAGCAAAGCCGAUCGUAGUUCGGAUUGCAGGCUGCAACCCGCCUGCAUGAAGCUGGAGUUGCUAGUAACCGCGCGUCAGCUAUAGUGCGGUGAAUACGUUCCCGGGGCUU
rnacentral:rRNA from 1 species